GACAGAGGGGGCGAGCGUUGUCCGGAGUCACUGGGCGUAAAGCGCGCGCAGGCGGCAACCUUAGUGACGUGUGAAAGCCCCCGGCUCAACCGGGGGAGGCCAUGGCAAACUGGGUCGCUCGAGCUGCGGAGAGGCCCCUCGAAUUGCCGGUGUAGCGGUGAAAUGCGUAGAGAUCGGCAGGAAGACCAGGGGGGAAGCCAGGGGGCUGGCCGCAGGCUGACGCUGAGGCGCGACAGCGUGGGGAGCAAACCGG
rnacentral:rRNA from 1 species